rnacentral:rRNA from 1 species
GUGGGGAAUAUUGGACAAUGGGCGAAAGCCUGAUCCAGCCAUGCCGCGUGUGUGAAGAAGGUCUUCGGAUUGUAAAGCACUUUAAGUUGGGAGGAAGGGUAGUAACCUAAUACGUUGCUACUUUGACGUUACCGACAGAAUAAGCACCGGCUAACUUCGUGCCAGCAGCCGCGGUAAUACGAAGGGUGCAAGCGUUAAUCGGAAUUACUGGGCGUAAAGCGCGCGUAGGUGGUUCAGUAAGUUGGUAGUGAAAUCCCCGGGCUCAACCUGGGAACUGCUUUCAAAACUGCUGAGCUAGAGUACGGUAGAGGGUGGUGGAAUUUCCUGGGUAGCGGUGAAAUGCGUAGAUAUAGGAAGGAACACCAGUGGCGAAGGCGACCACCUGGACUGAUACUGACACUGAGGUGCGAAAGCGUGGGGAGCAAACAGGAUUAGAUACCCUAGUAGUCC